AUGCCCCUGGACCCCGACCACUCGCCGUCGCCGCCGCCGCAGCCGCCGCACCGCGACUGGUUCUUCCCGCCGGCGCCGCCCUUCCUCCCCUCCUCCUCCAGGUCCCUCGGACCCAGGGCCCCCUUCCCCUCCACCUCCCGCUCCUACAAGCCCUACUCGCCCGCCGACCGCCGCCCGCUCCCGGCCCCCCGCUCCCGCUCCCGCUCCCCGCACCCCUCGCCGGAGCAGCAGUCGCCGCAGCCCCCCUCCGCGCCGCGCCUCCGCGGCUGGGACCCCCGCUACGCGGGCGUCCGCCGCGGCGAUGCGCAGGCGCCCGCAGCUGCAGCCGCGCCGCCGGCCGCCCCGCCGGCGGUGCCCGACAGGAAGUCGCCGCCCGCGUCCGCGCUCACCCUCCGUUGGUCCGGGAUGCUCUCCGCCGCGGCCAUUCUGCUCUGCUUCGCCUCCCUCCUCCACAGGAACUUCUCCCUGCACGACCAGGUCCACCAUUUGCGGGGACAGCUUGGCGCGGCCACGGCGAAGCUGCAGUCAUGUAUCGUCGUCAUGGACUCCUCGCUGGACAUGAGCAGCGCGUUUUCGGACCAGAGCAACGACGAGUUUGUGCCCAGCAGAAGCCUGAAGAAUUUCUCCCUGCUGCUCUCGCUGUCCGCGCUGUAUGCGCCGAUAAUUAUUCUCAAGUACAUCGACCUUCUGUCCAGGCUGAGGAGAUCGCGAGGCUCUGAAGAUGUCGCCUUCAACAAGCGGUUGGCGUACAGAGUCGAUAUAUUUUUGUCGCUUCAUCCGUACGCUAAACCCUUGGUUCUUCUUGUCGGUACAAUGUUGCUUAUCGGUCUUGGUGGGCUCGCUCUUUAUGGGGUUACUGAUGAUAGCUUGUCGGAUUGCCUCUGGUUAUCGUGGACCUUUGUGGCUGAUGCGGGAAACCAUGCAAAUGCCGUGGGCCUUGGGCCUAAGUUGGUUUCAGUUUCAAUCAGUAUUGGUGGGAUGUUGGUUUUUGCCAUGAUGCUUGGUCUUGUGACUGAUUCAAUCUCAGAGAAGUUUGAUUCUUUGAGGAAAGGAAGGAGCGAGGUCAUAGAGCAGAGUCACACCCUGAUCCUUGGGUGGAGUGACAAGUUGGGAUCUUUACUGAACCAAAUUUGUAUUGCUAACGAAAGUUUGGGAGGAGGGACUAUCGUAGUGAUGGCCGAGAGAGACAAAGAGGAAAUGGAAGCAGAUAUUGCUAAAAUGGAGUUUGACUUGAAAGGAACGGCUGUAAUAUGCAGAAGUGGAAGCCCUUUGAUUCUGGCUGACUUGAAAAAGGUCUCAGUUUCUAAGGCGCGUGCAAUUGUGGUUUUAGCUGAAGAAGGAAAUGCUGACCAGAGUGAUGCCCGAGCACUGCGAAUAGUCUUGAGUUUAACUGGAGUUAAAGAAGGACUAAGAGGUCACAUUGUUGUUGAGCUUAGUGAUCUUGACAAUGAAGUGCUAGUCAAACUUGUUGGUGGAGACCUUGUGGAAACUGUUGUUGCACAUGAUGUAAUAGGUCGGUUGAUGAUACAAUGCGCGCGUCAGCCGGGCCUUGCUCAGAUAUGGGAAGAUAUCCUUGGCUUCGAGAACUGUGAAUUCUAUAUUAAAAGAUGGCCUCAGUUGGUCGGAAUGCAAUUUGAAGAUGUGCUGAUUAGUUUUCCUGAUGCUGUUCCAUGUGGAAUAAAGAUGGCAUCUUACGGGGGCAAGAUUAUUUUAAAUCCUGAUGAUUGUUAUGUCUUGCAAGAGGGCGAUGAGGUGAUAGUAAUUGCAGAGGAUGAUGAUACAUAUACCCCAGCACCAUUACCCAAGGUUAAAGAAGCUGUUUACAUAGACAUUGUUCGCCAUGAAAGAAACUCCCAGAAGAUUCUUCUUUGUGGAAUGCGACGGGAUAUAGAUGAUAUGAUUGUGGUACUGGAUGCUUUCCUAGCUCCAGGGUCAGAGUUGUGGAUGUUCAAUGAUGUCCCUGAGAUAGAUAGAGAAAGAAAGCUAAUUGAAGGAGGUCUGGACUUUAGUCGUCUUGAAAAUAUUACGUUGGUUCAUCGAGAAGGAAAUGCUGUUAUUCGCCGUCACUUGGAGAGCCUCCCUUUAGAGUCGUUUGAUUCUAUAUUGAUUUUGGCAGAUGAAUCUGUAGAAGAUUCAGCAAUCCAAGCUGAUUCGAGGUCUCUUGCAACGUUACUGUUGAUCAGAGAUAUUCAGGCAAAACGUCUUCCAUACAAGGAAGCGAUUGGUUCAGAUGGUUUCCGAAGAAGCUUAUCAGAAGGUUCUUGGAUGGGAGAGAUGCAACAAGCAUCUGAUAAAUCUGUUAUAAUCAGUGAGAUAUUGGAUCCUAGGACUAAAAAUUUAUUAUACAUGUCAAAAAUAAGCGACUAUGUUCUUUCAAAUGAACUCGUGAGCAUGGCAUUGGCAAUGGUUGCAGAAGAUCGCCAAAUAAAUUAUGUCUUGGAGGAGCUCUUUGCUGAACAGGGGAAUGAACUGCAAAUACGACAAUCUGACCUGUACCUUCGAGAAGACGAGGAGCUAAGCUUCUUCGAGGUCAUGCUACGAGCUAGGCAGAGGAAAGAGGUUGUCAUCGGGUACCGUCUUGAGGACGCCGAGCGUGCCAUAAUCAAUCCACCAGACAAAGCUUCAAGGAGAAGGUGGUCACCCAAGGAUGUUUUUGUUGCUAUAGCCGAGAAAGAAUGA
rnacentral:rRNA from 1 species